AUGAGUCGUGGAAACCAGAAAGAGGUGAAUCAUUUUCUUCCCAUUUCAUUUACAAAUCGUUUCGUUACUGAAUGCUUGUUUACGAGAUUUUCUUUCUAUCUGUAUGUAAUUCUGCAUUUUCCGACGACUUAUGAUCUUCCCGCGACUGUUCGAUGCAUCUUCCAGUCACUGUUCAAGGCCCCUUCCGGUGACAGUUCGAUGCAUCUUCCAGUCACUGUUCGAUGCGCCUUCCGGUGA